AGUGAACGCUGGCGGUAGGCCUAACACAUGCAAGUCGAACGGCAGCACAGUAAGAGCUUGCUCUUACGGUUGGCGAGUGGCGGACGGGUGAGGAAUACAUCGGAAUCUACUUUUUCGUGGGGGAUAACGUAGGGAAACUUACGCUAAUACCGCAUACGACCUACGGGUGAAAGCAGGGGAUCUUCGGACCUUGCGCGAUUGAAUGAGCCGAUGUCGGAUUAGCUAGUUGGCGGGGUAAAGGCCCACCAAGGCGACGAUCCGUAGCUGGUCUGAGAGGAUGAUCAGCCACACUGGAACUGAGACACGGUCCAGACUCCUACGGGAGGCAGCAGUGGGGAAUAUUGGACAAUGGGCGCAAGCCUGAUCCAGCAAUACCGCGUGGGUGAAGAAGGCCUUCGGGUUGUAAAGCCCUUUUGUUGGGAAAGAAAAGCAGCAGGUUAAUACCCCGCUGUUCUGACGGUACCCAAAGAAUAAGCACCGGCUAACUUCGUG
rnacentral:rRNA from 1 species